GCUGGGUGUGGUGGCGUGCACCUGUAGUCCCAGCUACUCAGGAGGCUGAGGCAGGAGAAUUGUUUUAACCCGGGAGGCAGAGGCUGCAGUGAGCUGAGAUUGCACCACUGCACUCCAGCCUGGGUGACAGAGUAAGACUCUGUCUCAA
rnacentral:sRNA from 1 species